rnacentral:rRNA from 1 species
UACGUAGGUGACCAGCGUUGUCCGGAUUUACUGGGCGUAAAGAGCGCGCAGGCGGUCGUUCAAGUCGAGUGUGAAAGCCCCCGGCUCAACUGGGGAGGGUCACUCGAUACUGAUCGACUUGAAGGCAGGAGAGGGAAGCGGAAUUCCCGGUGUAGUGGUGAAAUGCGUAGAUAUCGGGAGGAACACCAGUGGCGAAGGCGGGCUUCCUGGCC